AGCAGCCGCGGUAAUUCCAGCUCCAAUAGCGUAUAUUAAAGUUGUUGCAGUUAAAAAGCUCGUAGUUGAAUUUCGGAAUCUGUCCAUCGGUCGGGCUUCAUUGUCCGUACUGGUGUGGUGGGUUCUUACCUUCUGAAUAACCAGCAUGCCAUUUAUUUGGUGCGCUGGGGAAGCAGGACUAUUACCUUGAAAAAUUAGAGUGCUCAAAGCAGGCUAGUGCCUGAAUACAUUAGCAUGGAAUAAUAAAAUAGGACGGCAUGGUUCUAUUUUGUUGGUUUCUAGGAUCACCGUAAUGAUUAAUAGGGAUAGUUGGGGGCAUUAGUAUUCAAUUGUCAGAGGUGAAAUUCUUGGAUUUAUUGAAGACUAACUUCUGCGAAAGCAUUUGCCAAGGAUGUUUUCAUUAAUCAAGAACGAAAGUUAGGGGAUCGAAGACGAUCAGAUACCGUCGUAGUCUUAACCAUAAACUAUGCCGACUAGGGAUCGGACGAUGUUAAUUUUUAAUGACUCGUUCGGUCG
rnacentral:rRNA from 1 species